UGCGCUCGUAGCUCAAUUGGAUAGAGCAACAGACUUCGGAUCUGUAGGUUGAAGGUUCGACUCCUUUCGAGCGUACCAC
rnacentral:tRNA from 1 species